UUUCAGUUGUCUGUAUCUAACUCCAGCGUCCUUACCAAGGCUCAGUCCGACUAACUUCACUAACAUGUGCUACAGGUUCUCCCAUGAGCAUGGGAUUGGGGGACUCAUCAUGCUUUUCUUCAAAACAUAAUUAGGUGUCAAGGGUUCUUUAAAUAAAACACACUGCAAUUUUCUUCUUUUCAUUUACAAUGCUCUCAUCUUUCUUGUGUACACAGUACUCCUUCCUAUAAUAUAAAUACAUUCCUAGGAUGUCAGCAUCAUGCAAGGUGUACAAAUGCAGCUAAGAAAUCUACCAGUCUUAGCUGGAACGUUACA